UGGGGAAUAUUGGACAAUGGGGGCAACCCUGAUCCAGCCAUGCCGCGUGAGUGAUGAAGGCCUUCGGGUUGUAAAGCUCUUUUGGCGGGGACGAUGAUGACGGUACCCGCAGAAUAAGCCCCGGCUAACUUCGUGCCAGCAGCCGCGGUAAGACGAAGGGGGCUAGCGUUGUUCGGAAUUACUGGGCGUAAAGCGAGUGUAGGCGGUUGCCGUAGUCAGGUGUGAAAGCCUUGAGCUCAACUCAAGAAAUGCACUUGAUACUGGGUGACUAGAGGACCGGAGAGGAUAGUGGAAUUCCCAGUGUAGUGGUGAAAUACGUAGAGAUUGGGAAGAACACCAGUGGCGAAGGCGGCUAUCUGGACGGUUACUGACGCUAAGACUCGAAAGCGUGGGGAGCAAACAGGAUUAGAUACCCUGGUAGUCCACGCCGUAAACGAUGGGUGCUAGACGUUGGCGAGCUUGCUCGUCAGUGUCGCAGCUAACGCG
rnacentral:rRNA from 1 species